rnacentral:rRNA from 1 species
AUGCGGCAGCUUCGGCUCAUCACCAACAUGAGGGUUCAUAAUCACACGUGGUUUGCAGAUUACUUGCUAAGGGUCGGCAAUGGCACUGAAGAAGCAGACGAUCAAGGCAACAUACUACUCCCCGAAGACAUUUUUCUGCCGUCUACAGGUGAUGUUGAUGACCUGGAGAAGAUGAUUGACCACGUGUUUCCGAGUCUAGAUGAGAACAUGUCUGAUUCGAAUUACAUGACAUCUCGGGCAAUCCUUUCAAUGACAAACGACAACGUCGACAAGAUAAACAUCCGCAUGAUAGAGCGUUUUCACGGAGAUGAAGUAAUCUACCACAGCUUUGACAGUGCGGAGGACGACCCAUAUGGCUACUACGCUCUUGAGUUUCUGAAUGGAUUGACUCCCAACGGUCUUCCUCCUCAUGCACUCAAACUAAAGCUGAACUGCCCUGUCAUACUUCUAAGGAACAUUGAUCCAGCUAAUGGACUGUGUAACGGGACUAGGCUUGUUGUUAGAGGUUUUGAGAGGAACACCAUUGAUGCGGAAAUCGUGAUUGGACAACACGCUGGUAGGAGGGUCUACCUUCCUCGAAUACCUCUGUGCCCAUCCGAAAACGACAUGUUUCCAUUCAAGUUUAAGAGGAAGCAAUUUCCUAUCCCGGAUUCCUCAUACGGGCUACUUGUAGUAAACCGUAUGAGAAGGAGGGUUGUCGUACUGGAUCCAUCACGAGACGUCGACCAAGUUGGAGAGAGCACUCAUAACAAACAGAUGAUGAAUGAAAUCACAUUGUUGAAGCAAGAGUUCAAUGAUGUGUUGCAGGCUAGGAUCCCGGGUUGGAAUACCACACUUAUGGAUUGGCGACAAGAUAGCAUGUCUUCUAAUGCUCGCCGGUAA